rnacentral:rRNA from 1 species
UACGUAGGGGGCAAGCGUUGUCCGGAAUCAUUGGGCGUAAAGCGCGUGUAGGCGGUCCGAUAAGUUCGCUGUGAAAGUCGGGGGCUUAACCCUCGGAUGCCGGUGAAUACUGUCGGGCUUGAGUACGGAAGAGGCGAGUGGAAUUCCUGGUGUAGCGGUGAAAUGCGUAGAUAUCUGGAGGAACACCGGUGGCGAAGGCGGCAUUCUGGACCAUAACUGACACUGAGAGACGAAAGCCAGGGGAGCAAACGGG